UUUUGACAGUUAAUAUUGAAUAAGAGUCAUGCUGCAAACGGAAGAUUUGCCGCGUAUGACACCGUUGUCACCCGGCAGCGAUGCAACAAAUUCCAAGUCAACAAAACUGAUAUGCAAGGUAAGUGUGUAUCUAUAGCCUGUAGCGUAUGAAAAUGUGUAAUAUAUACGUCUGUGCGAGACGCGUGAUCAAGCCUCGCGUGCAUGUAUUCGCGGACACGACUGUCUGAGUGCAUCCAGCCAGCCUGCAGACCAGGCGAUCACACAUGUUUGCGUAUUUGCUUGAUCACUCAUGGACUUGUAUUAGCAAUUUAAAUAUGGCAACCGCGCAUAGUGUACCAACGUUACCACGAACGAAAUUCCUUUAUUCUCGCCUCGCUUAUCUGAUCCACUUCUUUCCAAUUUCAAUCGUUUUUGGUAAUAAUUGCUGCCUGUAUAGAUAUACGAGCGAAGGACACUCUUUACAGUAUGUACCAUUCGACUCUUUUGGUAGCAAUCAUUGGUUUGCUUUUAUACACCUUAAGAUUGAAUCGUAAAUACUAAGAAAAAAUUCUACUUGUCAAUUUACUAUACCUACGUUCGUGAUCAUUGACUUCUUCACGACAAGUAGCAAUAUGUGUAUGAAGAUACAGCAGAUAGCGGAAUUUAUCUACAGAUAUUUCAAGGAGACAUGCCAAAAUGCACAUGUUAAUCGAAAAACACUCCUAAAAGUCGAUUAACUCGCGAUAAUUAAUAAGAAGUUGAGUGCAGGAGAAGAAUACUUGCAAGUACGUUGUACAAAAGUAACUGACAUGGGUAUAGUUAUUACUUUGAUAAGAAAGAAUCUACAUAUUAUCUAAUCUAUUAUUCACGUACAUAACAAUGAAUCUAUUAACAUCUGAUGCUUUCUCUAUUACCUUGUUCUACUAAAC